rnacentral:tRNA from 1 species
AAAGGGAGACCUAAUUCCGGUAGGAGACGAAAAAAAAGUAGUCCCUACCAAGAAUCAAUCCCAAAAGGUCGGAACGAGGUAUGAGGCUUUCAAACUAGGUUCUGGGUUCAUAAAAGACCUGAAUCAGGAACAAGGGCUAUUAGCUCAGGUGGUUAGAGCGCACCCCUGAUAAGGGUGAGGUCCCUGGUUCGAGUCCAGGAUGGCCCACCUGCACAGGUGGCAAAAACAAGAGAAGCGAGGAAUCAGCACCUUAUCUUGUAUACAUAUAUAAGAGAGAAUGCUGGCUCUGAGUACAGAGUCCAGAGGAACCUUGAAAACUGCAUAGAGCUAGGUGAAAAAGCUAAAAAAGAAGACCGCAAG